rnacentral:rRNA from 1 species
GAAUAUUGGACAAUGGGCGAAAGCCUGAUCCAGCCAUGCCGCGGGUGUGAAGAAGGUCUUCGGAUUGUAAAGCACUUUCAGCUGGGAGGAAGGGCAGUAAGCGAAUACCUUGCCGCUUUGACGUUACCGACCGAAUAAGCACCGGCCAACUCUGUGCCAGCAGCCGCGGUAAUAAAGAGGGUGCAAGCGUUAAUCGGAAUUACUGGGCGUAAAGCGGGCGUAGGUGGUUCGUUAAGUUGGAUGUGAAAUCCCCGGGCUCAACCUGGGAACUGCAUCCAAAACUGGCGAGCUAGAGUAGGGCAGAGGGUGGUGGAAUUUCCUGUGUAGCGGUGAAAUGCGUAGAUAUAGGAAGGAACACCAGUGGCGAAGGCGACCACCUGGGCUCAUACUGACACUGAGGUGCAAAAGCGUGGGGAGCAAACAG